rnacentral:lncRNA from 1 species
AAGCAAUGACCCAACAAUAUCAACUAGAGGUAAUGGACUCAAAACAACAAAAAACCAGUAGAAUGUAAAAUCAACAGUGGAACAAAUGUUGUGAAUAUCUAUCCAACAACAAAGCAUAACAAUCAUUACACACAAAUCCUAUGGCUAUGGAAGCCAUCUACAGAACAAUUCUCACAUGAUUACGAUUGAGCGAUUAUGACACUAUUAACAUGAAAACAGUGAAAUCGAUCAAAGGCAAUCGAAUUGAAGACCUCAACACAGUUAUUGAUUCAACAGAAUAACAACCUAUAACAAGGUAAUCCUACGACCUUCAUAGCCAUCUACAGCUUCUCCCAAUAAACAAACAACACCACAUCAUGAGCUCUAGAACAUUCGUCAAAAUGGGUCAAGGUCGGGUCGAGGGUGAGCUGUUCGGGUGGUGGAUUUGGAAUUGGGUCAUUGAUUUUGCUGUUGGUGCAUUUAAAGUUUGAUGGUAUUGUCGUGAGUUGUUGUCGAUCUUGUUGCUGAUAUUGUUGGAGCUAUUUAUUUGAGAAGAGAAAUGGGUCGGGUCGGACGAAUAGAUUUGGACUGGGCAGUCCUAUUGCGGGUUUUAAUUGUUGUACUGACUGGGCAAGUUUGGAGGAAAAUUUGUUUUGGGUUGUUGGGUAUAUUUGGG